rnacentral:rRNA from 1 species
UGGGGAAUCUUGCACAAUGGGGGAAACCCUGAUGCAGCGACGCCGCGUGAACGAUGAAGCCCUUCGGGGUGUAAAGUUCUUUCGACAGGAACGAUAAUGACGGUACCUGGAGAAGAAGCUGCGGCUAACUACGUGCCAGCAGCCGCGGUAAUACGUAGGCAGCGAGCGUUGUUCGGAGUUACUGGGCGUAAAGAGUGCGUAGGCGGCGAGCCAAGUUUGGGGUGAAAUCUCCCGGCUUAACCGGGAGGGUGCGCCGAAAACUGGUUGGCUGGAGUAUGGGAGAGGAAAGCGGAAUUCCUGGUGUAGCGGUGAAAUGCGUAGAUAUCAGGAGGAACACCUGCGGUGUAGACAGCUUUCUGGACCAAAACUGACGCUGAGGCACGAAAGCGUGGGUAGCAAACA